rnacentral:lncRNA from 1 species
ACACGAUCCAAUUAAGGGCUUUGAAGAAGACUUUCUAGAUAGAAGACAGGAGUGUACUUUUUGUUUUUUUUUUGUUUGUUUGUUCGUUUUUGUUUUUGUUUUUUUGAGACAGAGUCUCGCUUUGUCACCCAGGCUGGAGUGCAGUGGCACGAUCUCGGCUUACUGCAAGCUCCGCCUCCCGGGUUCACGCCAUUCUCCUGCCUCAGACUCUCCGAGUAGUUGGGACUGCAGGCGCCUGCCACCAUGCCCGGCUAAUUUUUUGUAUUUUUAGUAGAGACGGGGUUUCACCGUGGUCUCAAUCUCCUGACAUCGUGAUCUGCCCGCCUUGGCCUCCCAAAGUGCUGGGAUUACAAGCGUGAGCCACCGCGCCCGGCGGAAGACAGGAGUGUUUAAACAGAGACUUAGAGUGAGCAGGGCCAAAGGACAAUGAGCAGGGGCGAGGUAGGGAAAAGCUCUCCAGGCCAAGAUACAAC